GAUGAACGCUGGCGGCGUGCCUAAUACAUGCAAGUAGAACGCUGAAGCUUGGUGCUUGCACCGAGCGGAUGAGUUGCGAACGGGUGAGUAACGCGUAGGUAACCUGCCUCUUAGCGGGGGAUAACUAUUGGAAACGAUAGCUAAUACCGCAUAAAAGUCGACAUUGCAUGAUGUUGAUUUGAAAGGUGCAAUUGCAUCACUAAGAGAUGGACCUGCGUUGUAUUAGCUAGUUGGUGAGGUAACGGCUCACCAAGGCGACGAUACAUAGCCGACCUGAGAGGGUGAUCGGCCACACUGGGACUGAGACACGGCCCAGACUCCUACGGGAGGCAGCAGUAGGGAAUCUUCGGCAAUGGGGGCAACCCUGACCGAGCAACGCCGCGUGAGUGAAGAAGGUUUUCGGAUCGUAAAGCUCUGUUGUAAGAGAAGAACGAGUGUGAGAGUGGAAAGUUCACUCUGUGACGUAACUACCA
rnacentral:rRNA from 1 species